UACAGAGGUCUCAAGCGUUGUUCGGAUUCAUUGGGCGUAAAGGGCUCGUAGGCGGUCUGUUGCGUCGGGAGUGAAAACUUACAGCUUAACUGUGAGCGUGCUUCCGAUACGGGCAGACUUGAGGUAUUCAGGGGAGAACGGAAUUCCUGGUGUAGCGGUGAAAUGCGCAGAUAUCAGGAGGAACACCGGUGGCGAAGGCGGUUCUCUGGGAAUAUCCUGACGCUGAGGAGCGAAAGUGUGGGGAGCGAACAGG
rnacentral:rRNA from 1 species